rnacentral:rRNA from 1 species
AUGCAAGUCGAGCGGACCGACGGGAGCUUGCUCCCUUAGGUCAGCGGCGGACGGGUGAGUAACACGUGGGUAACCUGCCUGUAAGACUGGGAUAACUCCGGGAAACCGGGGCUAAUACCGGAUGCUUGAUUGAACCGCAUGGUUCAAUCAUAAAAGGUGGCUUUUAGCUACCACUURCAGAUGGACCCGCGGCGCAUUAGCUAGUUGGUGAGGUAACGGCUCACCAAGGCGACGAUGCGUAGCCGACCUGAGAGGGUGAUCGGCCACACUGGGACUGAGACACGGCCCAGACUCCUACGGGAGGCAGCAGUAGGGAAUCUUCCGCAAUGGACGAAAGUCUGACGGAGCAACGCCGCGUGAGUGAUGAAGGUUUUCGGAUCGUAAAACUCUGUUGUUAGGGAAGAACAAGUACCGUUCGAAUAGGGCGGYACCUUGACGGUACCUAACCAGAAAGCCACGGCUAACUACGUGCCAGCAGCCGCGGUAAUACGUAGGUGGCAAGCGUUGUCCGGAAUUAUUGGGCGUAAAGCGCGCGCAGGCGGUUUCUUAAGUCUGAUGUGAAAGCCCCCGGCUCAACCGGGGAGGGUCAUUGGAAACUGGGGAACUUGAGUGCAGAAGAGGAGAGUGGAAUUCCACGUGUAGCGGUGAAAUGCGUAGAGAUGUGGAGGAACACCAGUGGCGAAGGCGACUCUCUGGUCUGUAACUGACGCUGAGGCGCGAAAGCGUGGGGAGCGAACAGGAUUAGAUACCCUGGUAGUCCACGCCGUAAACGAUGAGUGCUAAGUGUUAGAGGGUUUCCGCCCUUUAGUGCUGCAGCAAACGCAUUAAGCACUCCGCCUGGGGAGUACGGUCGCAAGACUGAAACUCAAAGGAAUUGACGGGGGCCCGCACAAGCGGUGGAGCAUGUGGUUUAAUUCGAAGCAACGCGAAGAACCUUACCAGGUCUUGACAUCCUCUGACAACCCUAGAGAUAGGGCUUCCCCUUCGGGGGCAGAGUGACAGGUGGUGCAUGGUUGUCGUCAGCUCGUGUCGUGAGAUGUUGGGUUAAGUCCCGCAACGAGCGCAACCCUUGAUCUUAGUUGCCAGCAUUCAGUUGGGCACUCUAAGGUGACUGCCGGUGACAAACCGGAGGAAGGUGGGGAUGACGUCAAAUCAUCAUGCCCCUUAUGACCUGGGCUACACACGUGCUACAAUGGGCAGAACAAAGGGCAGCGAAGCCGCGAGGCUAAGCCAAUCCCACAAAUCUGUUCUCAGUUCGGAUCGCAGUCUGCAACUCGACUGCGUGAAGCUGGAAUCGCUAGUAAUCGCGGAUCAG